GCGCCGACUUCAUCGCGGUCUGCAGCUGCUGCACCUGGUCCGGGUGCUGCUGGGCGGCCGCCUGGAAGGCCGCGUCGUUCUUGCCGGCGUCGGCGUA
rnacentral:tRNA from 1 species